rnacentral:rRNA from 1 species
CCUACGGGAGGCAGCAGUGGGGAAUUUUGGACAAUGGGCGCAAGCCUGAUCCAGCAAUGCCGCGUGAGUGAAGAAGGCCUUCGGGUUGUAAAGCUCUUUUGUCAGGGAAGAAACGGCUGAGGAUAAUACCUUUGGCUAAUGACGGUACCUGAAGAAUAAGCACCGGCUAACUACGUGCCAGCAGCCGCGGUAAUACGUAGGGUGCAAGCGUUAAUCGGAAUUACUGGGCGUAAAGCGUGCGCAGGCGGUUUUGUAAGUCUGACGUGAAAUCCCCGGGCUCAACCUGGGAAUUGCGUUGGAGACUGCAAGGCUGGAGUCUGGCAGAGGGGGGUAGAAUUCCACGUGUAGCAGUGAAAUGCGUAGAGAUGUGGAGGAACACCGAUGGCGAAGGCAGCCCCCUGGGUCAAGACUGACGCUCAUGCACGAAAGCGUGGGGAGCAAACAGGAUUAGAUACCCUGGUAGUCCACGCCCUAAACGAUGUCUACUAGUUGUCGGGUCUUAAUUGACUUGGUAACGCAGCUAACGCGUGAAGUAGACCGCCUGGGGAGUCGGUCGCAAGNUUAAAACUUAAAGAUAGUUAGCGNGNGAGNGCGACGAGACGACGAGGAGGAGG